rnacentral:rRNA from 1 species
UACGGGGGGGCAAGCGUUGUUCGGAAUUACUGGGCGUAAAGGGCUCGGAGGUGGCCAACUAAGUCAGACGUGAAAUCCCUCGGCUUAACCGGGGAACUGCAUCUGAUACUGGAUGGCUUGAGUUUGGGAGAGGGACGCGGAAUUCCAGGUGUAGCGGUGAAAUGCGUAGAUAUCUGGAGGAACACCGGUGGCGAAGGCGGCGUCCUGGACCAACACUGACACUGAGGAGCGAAAGCCAGGGGAGCAAACGGG